GCUUUGACGCACGCCAGACCUCGGAGGCCGCCGUCGUUGCGGAGUAGGGGGCGGGCGGGGAGGGGGCGAGCGUGAGUCCCCGGGAGGUAGGGAGCAGGCCAGAGGGAGGGGCGGCCCGGGAGAGGGCGGGACCUGCAGAGCCAGCUCCUUUCCAGUAGCCGCGACCCCCUGCCGCCAGCGUGACACACCAGCCUUUAAAAGGCUCUCUGCUCAGGAGAGAGAACUUUCCGAGUCCAAGUUCACUGACGAGUGAAGACAAAUUUGCACACCAUCAGAGGAGAUCGUGUGUUUUCCUUAGAAGGGUUUUAGGUGCAGUCUGACCAAGGCCAUGAAAACAUCAAAACUUCUCAACAUACUCUUCAGUCAGCUGCAUGCAUCAAGCACUCUUUCUAAAUUGAGGGCCAUUUUGGUGUUCCUAAUGCCACCCUGGAAAGUCAGAAAAGGCAAGGGCUGGAUUUGAUGAAUUCCUUUCUCAAUCAUCCAAAGGGUUCCACUUUUAGAGUAAUACAAUUUCGGAGUUUGAUAUCUUUGAUUUUAAGACAAACUUUCAGAUACUUAAGGAUUUUAGGCUGAAGUGGACAUUCUUGGAAUAUUUCCUAAAAUAUCACAUUGUCAUUUGAAGCUUCAAGAACCAACCUAAUAAAAGUAAAGAACUUUAAGACAGCUUGGAAUCCUUCCCUUCACUUCUGAGAGAAAUUCUGCAUGCACACUAAACUUCUAAGAACUUUAUACCGGGA